UACAGGGGGGGCAAGCGUUGUUCGGAAUUACUGGGCGUAAAGGGCGUCGUAGGCGGCCAACUUAAGUCACACGUGAAAUCCCCAGGCUUAACCUGGGAACUGCGUGUGAUACUGGAUGGCUUGAAUCCGGGGAGAGGGAUGCAGAAUUCCAGGUGUAGCGGUGAAAUGCGUAGAUAUCAGGAGGAACACCCAGCGGCGAAAGGCGGCGCUCUGGGCCGGAACUGACGCUGAGGAGCGAAAGCGUGGGUAGCAAACAGG
rnacentral:rRNA from 1 species